AUGGACUUUUAUAAUUUCCAAACCUACAGUUGCAAUGCUUUUGACAUGUUAAAUUGGACUUGGGAAUUAACUAAUACAUUUUAUUCGCUUGCGUGAUGUCAAUGGGUCUUGAAAUUGUUGCUGCAAGCUUUAAUUCAUCAGUAUCUAGAUAAUUGUACCUAUUUGUUGGUCGAAUGCUGAUGUGAGUAAUAAUUUUAAAUUUUACAUCUUGAAGAUUAAUCAUAAGUUGUGUUUAAUCUGUGAUGUUUAUGAUGCCUUUAGAUUUCCACAUUUGUUGGUUUUGUUUAUGUAGUUUCAUGGGUGAUACGAUUACAGAGUUAUUAUAGGAAGUUGCUGAAUUUCAUGCGCACAAUUAAGUUUGUUGAAAUUGGCAAACGUGGCAAGGUUAAGUAUGAGCUCGACAAGAAAACUGGCCUUAUAGU
rnacentral:sRNA from 1 species